GCGUUGAUAGUCUAGUGGUUAGGAUAACUCCCUUCCAUCAACGGAAAGUUAGGAGUUGACCGGCGUUCGAAUCGCCGUCAUCGCA